CAGUUUUCCAGUAGGAUUCUGGGCAAGAUCAGCACUAGCCGUCUCCUCCGUCGUUGUAACAAACUUGCAUUGAUCCGCGAUACACAGUAUGCCUUGAAGAGAUGCCGUCAUAAAUGGCAUGGCUCUUGUUGUGUUGGUGCAGUGCUUUAAAAGUGCGAAAUAAGUGAACGGUGUAAAUUAAGUUAACCAUAAUGACGGAGUUCUUUGGAUCAUGGAACAAAGGCGACGAGGAGGUGGAGGAGACUGUGGAGACAGUGGAAACAAUCACAAGGACUACGCGUCGUGUCCAAUCCCCAUCAAAGUCGUCAAGUACGAAAACGACGACAAUGACGACACCGGCCAAGUUGUACGGCAGAGAAUUGUCCACAUACGAUGAAAUUGAUGUCGACGAACUUUUAUCGAAGUUGACACAAGAAGAGCUGACUAUGCUCGCUAAGGAAGUAGACCCCGACGACACAUUUUUACCACCAUCACAAAGGACAAACUAUGCAUGUGAAAAGGAUCCCACUGGUCCGCUGAAUCGUAAGAAAUUGAUUGAACAUAUUAAUAAGCAGGCACUAGAGACGCCUGAUAGGCCAGAGGUGAAACCAUAUGUUGCCGGUGUUGUUAGAGGGAAAAAGUGGAUUCCACCGCCACCUCCAGAAAAAGUUCGUGAUGCAGAUGAACAAAUUACAAUAGAUCUAGGUGAUGAAUAUGAGCAGGCACUCACCUCCGCCUCACAGGAGGAAAUCAUCGACCUCGCCGCUAUUCUCGGGUUCCACUCCAUGAUGAAUCAGGACCAGUACCACGCCUCAUUAUUAAACAAGGGGCAACCUGUUGGCCUCGGAUGGGACGGCAUCACAAAAGCGACUAAACCGAAGGUGUACCCAAUGGACCCACCAAACGACACAGACCCCGAAGAUACCAUCAAAAGGGUGAAGGAGAAUGACCAGAAUCUGACAGAUCUCAAUUGGAAUAAUAUUAAGAACAUAAGCGACGAGAAAUUCGAAAAACUCUUCGAAGGGUUAAAAACAAAUACACAUUUGGAAGUUCUGUCGCUGGUUAACGUGGGCCUGAACGACCGCACGGCCCAACUUUUGGCCGACGCCUUGGAACAGAACACCACUUUGCGAGUGGUCAAUGUGGAGACUAACUUUAUCAGCCCCCCUGGUGUUGUCCAAUUGGUUAAAUCCCUGCUUACAACGACCACUGUUGAGGAGUUCCGGGCUUCAAACCAGCGGUCGCAAGUCCUCGGCAACAAGAUUGAGAUGGAGAUAACGAAGUUGGUGGAAGCGAAUCCCACUUUGCUCCGACUGGGUUUGCACCUGGAGUACAGCGACGCCCGCCAUCGCGUCGCCAGCCAUCUGCAGAGGAACAUCGACAGAAAUUGCCGAGUACAAAAGCGCACUAGCGUGUCCCUGCGACUACGCCUGCCCGGCCGGCCGCCCGCGGUGGGCGUCGACGCUAGCUUGUUGAACCUCACGCCGCCCAGCGCCGAAACACCCACGCCCACUAAAGAAACGGUAAUGCCGGUCCGCGACGAAAGCGUCGAAAACACAAUCCUCAUACCGGCAGACAUUGUUCAGGAGCAGAACGGACGUAGCCCGACGACCACGCAAUUGCCCGACUUUAACCCAAAUCCAUACUCUACGGAAAGACCUAACGCUACGACUCCAGUUCAGGUUCUUUAACAACCUGCAAAAGGGCGCGCGUAGCCAAUAGAUUAAGUACGCCAGCAGCGACGGAGCCAGAAUAGCGCUUAGAAGACGCAACGACACGUGCGGUGGCAGAGCUCUUCGCUUGACCCGAUGCACCCGCAGUCGUAGCUACGUUGUGGGUUGGAUCCCGUGAACUCGAGUAUACAGACAUAUAAACACAAAUUCUGCGCGUAAAUAGCGAACAUCAUGCGAAUAUAUUUUUAAUUUACGCAUUUUAAAGGUUUAAAAAUCGAGUACAAGUCAAUAAUGACCGGUUUUUUUGUGUUUAUAUGUCUCUGUCUUAGCUAAACUCGCCCGCAGUCGCUGCCUUUACGCUGUCCAUACUCUUUGUAACUGUGUAGUUGAUAAAUUUUUGGUGCGCCUCGUGCCCACUUAGGCUUCGCGUUCACUUUCGUCUCUUUCUGUCAAUUACUAUAUUCGCUAAGAUGGAAAGAGACAGAUAAUUGCUUUUGGUGGAACAAAAUAAGGCUGGUGUUUACGAAAGCUUGUUCUAACUAUUGAAAUGCAGAUUUAAUCGCGUAUGGAAUUAGGUCCGUAGCUUUACGUACACGUGCGUUGGUGCUCGUAUAUUUAUUUCUAGCUAUUUUUAUAUCACUUUUUAACAUUUGACUACACAAGGACAAAGAUCACGGACAGUUAUUUUAAUAGGGAAUGUUUGGUACAAAUUGUGAUUUUAUUUUGGACCGGUAUAUCUGGAUGGCAGGUCCGAGCCUAGACUAUGGGUAACAAAAUAAAAUCAUACGAUUUGUUUGAAUGAAAGUAUGUUUAUUAAUUCUUAGCGUGUUAAUGAAAUCGUAUUAAUUUUAUCAUUUUAAUGAAUUGUAAUAUAUUGUAAGUUUACAUUCCGUUAACGCUAAACAUGCUUCUCUACUGACCUGCAACUGUUUUCACACAAAUUGAUAUAACUCCAACCGGCCAUUGUCUGUGUUUGUACAAAUUCUUAUUACAAAUGAAAUAAUUUAUAAUACAAUUUCUAUACAUAUAAGUUUGUAAUUAAGUGAGAAGUUAUGUUCCGCGUAAACGGAAAACUAAGUUUUUAAAUUUCAUAAAGUAGUAGGUUCUAUUAUCGCAGAUUCUUUUAGUUACUUUAUAGUUAAAGUCGAGUUAUUUUCAGGCUUUCGAUGUCGGCUUUGUAACAUUUAGCUUAUGAUGCUAAUUAUUGUAACUGUAUAUUAGUAGAAGGAUCCUGGAAUCCAUAACGUUGUGAUAAACAUCUUUUUUUCCAAUAAAUUGCUUGUUUUUUUUUCAUUUUAAUUUCGAUUUUUGGCAUCAAAUGGAAAUUGAGCCGAAUUGUAUAUGAAUUUUAGAUUUUUUAUGUACCUAUAAUGAUAUAAAAUUUUAUUAUUAUAGAUUUUAUUUAUACUUUUGACGUAAGCAUUUUGAUUCAACGACAACCUCGAAGUAGAGUCGCAGUUCUGUAGUUUGUGACAAAAUGUAAUAAAAUCAAUUAUUCA